AGAGUUUGAUCAUGGCUCAGGACGAACGCUGGCGGCGUGCUUAACACAUGCAAGUCGAACGGUAAGGCCCUUCGGGGUACACGAGUGGCGAACGGGUGAGUAACACGUGGGUAAUCUGCCCUGCACAUCGGGAUAAGCCUGGGAAACUGGGUCUAAUACCGAAUAGGACCACAGAACACAUGUCCUGUGGUGGAAAGCUUUUGCGGUGUGGGAUGGGUCCGCGGCCUAUCAGCUUGUUGGUGGGGUGAUGGCCCACCAAGGCGACGACGGGUAGCCGGCCUGAGAGGGUGUCCGGCCACACUGGGACUGAGAUACGGCCCAGACUCCUACGGGAGGCAGCAGUGGGGAAUAUUGCACAAUGGGCGAAAGCCUGAUGCAGCGACGCCGCGUGGGGGAUGACGGCCUUCGGGUUGUAAACCUCUUUCACCAUCGACGAAGGUUCGGGUUUUCUCGGAUUGACGGUAGGUGGAGAAGAAGCACCGGCCAACUACGUGCCAGCAGCCGCGGUAAUACGUAGGGUGCGAGCGUUGUCCGGAAUUACUGGGCGUAAAGAGCUCGUAGGUGGUUUGUCGCGUUGUUCGUGAAAUCUCACGGCUUAACUGUGAGCGUGCGGGCGAUACGGGCAGACUUGAGUACUGCAGGGGAGACUGGAAUUCCUGGUGUAGCGGUGGAAUGCGCAGAUAUCAGGAGGAACACCGGUGGCGAAGGCGGGUCUCUGGGCAGUAACUGACGCUGAGGAGCGAAAGCGUGGGGAGCGAACAGGAUUAGAUACCCUGGUAGU
rnacentral:rRNA from 1 species